rnacentral:rRNA from 1 species
GGACUACGGGGGUAUCUAAUCCCGUUUGCGCCCCAGGGCUUCGUUCCUCACCGUCGAAUUCGUUCUAGUCAGACGCCUUCGCCACCGGUGGUCCUUCUAGGAUUACAGGAUUUUACCCCUACCCCAGAAGUACCUCUGACCUCUCCCGAUCCCAAGUCUUGCAGUCUCCCCGGACUUCGGACAGUUAAGCUGGCCGAUUUACCCAAGGAUUUACAAGACCGGCUACGAACGUUUUAGGCUCAAUAAUAUCGACCACCACUCGGGCCGCGGGUAUUACCGCGGCGGCUGGCACCCGUCUUACCCGGCCCUUACUUCUCCUGUUUUUUAGACAGGGGAACAGUCAACACAAUGUGCUGACACUUGGAAUUCCCUCAUCGGGGUUUCCCCCAUUGUGAAGUUUUCGCGACUGCUGCCCCCCAUAGG